AGAUAUGUGAUGAUCGAAUUGUUUCCCUAUUUGUUUGAUUGGCUGCCAUGAUGGCUAAAUCUGCAUUAGCUCUAUCUGAUCAUCU
rfam:Zea mays cultivar B73 chromosome 5, whole genome shotgun sequence.